GCUAAGUAACGCACAGAAUGGUCGGGGGACGAUAAAGGCAGAACUUGAAGCAUUAGAUUAAAGAUACUCUCUCCUAAUUAUAAUUUUUACUAGUAACUCAUCAGCUGAAGCAGGUUUAUAGUGUAGCAGUUCACUGAAUGGUUUGUGAUUUGGUCUGAAAAAAUAUGUUAUUUGGAAAUGGAUCGAUACAAGCGCCAGAUUAGACUCCGUUGUGACCGUGGAUUACCUAUCAAACGAGAUACACCCGUGAAACCAGCGCUCACCAGACGAGACAAGCACAGGAAACUUCUAUUCCGCAAGCAUUAUGAAGCUUUUCCAGAAGAACCUGAGAGGGAAGUCACGAAUGACUCCACUGUCAAACCAAAGAGCCCAGUAUCUGCCAACACUGUACACCCCAAAUCUACUUUUAGCUUAAGCACACCUGCACUUACUGAAACUACCGGACACAAAGCAACCUUACCUGCCGUUCAGGUGACUGUAGUAAAGGCUCAUGAAGGUGAUGAAAUGUCGGGUAAAGAAGACGAGCAAAGCUUGGCAGUGACUCUGGAAAGCUUCACAUUAUCUAGCAUGGAGACUGACACAACUUUCAGCUCUGGUGACACAGAGGAUGAGGACUUUUUGACCUCCGCAACUUCUAACAAUCUUCCCUCUCCAGAGAUCUUCAGAAGAGAAAACCAGGUGGAAACCUUCAAUUUCUCCAUUGGGGAAGACCUGCUGGGUCUCCAUCGUCACAUAAAAAACUCCACUUUGUUGGAUGUCAGCCACGCUGAGAGCAUACACAUGCAUCAUCCCCCUAACCUUUCUACCAUCCUGGAUGCCUCCACUAUUCUUGCUGAAAAGACCUGUGAGAUCAGCAACAACAGAGAAGCCGGAUCUGCUGCUAAAAUACAAAAUGACUCGUUGAAAUCAGGCAUGUAGACAUGAUCAUGAUGACCUGCCGAAGUUUAAACCAAGCAUCAGAAUGGAGAAGAAAGGUGACUUUGAACGUAGCUUGGUUGUUGGUGCCAGACAGGCUGGUGUGAGUAUUUUAUAAAUUGCUGAUCUACUGGGAUUUUCCCACACAUCCAUCUUG
ensembl:lncRNA